rnacentral:rRNA from 1 species
AGGAACACCAUGAGCGAAGGCGGCUUGCUGGGUCUUAACUGACGCUGAGGCACGAAAGCGUGGGGAGCAAACAGGAUUAGAUACCCUGGUAGUCCACGCCGUAAACGAUGAGUACUAGACGUUGGGUUAAACCAGUGUCGAAGUUAACACAUUAAGUACUCCGCCUGAGUAGUACGUACGCAAGUAUGAAACUUAAAGGAAUUGACGGGACUCCGCACAAGCGGUGGAUCAUGUUGUUUAAUUCGAAGGUACCCGAAAAACCUCACCAGGUCUUGACAUGUUUCUGCAAAGCUGUAGAAAUACAGCGGAGGUUAUCAGUUGCACAGGUGGUGCAUGGUUGUCGUCAGCUCGUGUCGUGAGAUGUUGGGUUAAGUCCCGCAACGAGCGCAACCCUUGUUGUUAAUUGCCAUCAUUAAGUUGGGGACUUUAGCAAGACUGCCAGUGAUAAAUUGGAGGAAGGUGGGGACGACGUCAAAUCAUCAUGCCCCUUAUGACCUGGGCUACAAACGUGAUACAAUGGCUGUUACAAAGGGUAGCUGAAGCGCAAGCUUUUGGCAAAUCUCAAAAAAACAGUCUCAGUUCGGAUUGAAGUCUGCAACUCGACUUCAUGAAGUUGGAAUCGCUAGUAAUCGCGAAUCAGCAUGUCGCGGUGAAUACGUUCUCGGGGUUUGUACACACCGCCCGUCAAACCACGAAGGUUGGCAAUACCCAAAGCCGGUGGCCUAACUUGAGCAAUCAAGAGGGAUCCGUCUAAGGUAGGGUCGAUGAUUGGGGUUAAGUCGUAACAAGGUAUCCCUACCGGAAGGUGGGGAUGGAUCACCUCCUUU